AAAGAGAGUUCGAACAUACAUGUCAUGUAAGAACUCGAAAGUUGCAAUAUGCAAAGUAGUCCUUUGACCUAAGGCAUCAUAGAUGUCUAAUGGUUAGGUCCUUGAUCUUUGAUCAUGUCAACGGCAUUCCAUCGGAGUGUCCACGGCAUUGUUGGGGUCAAACUAUCUAGUCGUGUAGGUAUAUGAAUGCACAACAAGGGAUCUCUAACCUUCCAUGGUGGAAGGAGAAUACUCUAAGAUAUGAUUCUAAAGUCUUUGGCCAAAGCAUAUGAAUAUGACUUAGGAAGUUUGUUCCAAAUCAUAUUCAAGGGAAUCAUAUAGAUAUGUAUCACAUUGGAUAGUAGACAUGAAACAAACUAUCACUCAAACAAUGUGAUUAAGAGUAUUGUAUUAGAGAAGGACCGUAUUGCAUUGUAGUUGUAACUGGAUAGGUUCUCCAAUCAAUUCUACUUAGCUUGGGUAACCAUGACAUACUGCUAGGUGUCACUCAUGGUUUGUGGAAGCCCUAAUGACUAGCAAACACUAAUCAUAAAGGGAGAAUUGAAAUGUGGUUUCAAUUCACAAUCGAUUGUUAAGAGUAACAAUCGCCCACUACCUCGCUAAUUGGAACCUAAUGGAUCGUACACCGAGUAAGGGCGAUAGUGAAGAAAUUAAAUGAAAUGGAUAAGCAAUUAAAUGGUUUAAUUGAAGAAUGGUCAAGAUUAAUUAAUUAUACGAAAGGUUCGUAUUGGGCUUUUAAGUUGGUUUUGGGUUUCGGG
rnacentral:lncRNA from 1 species